rfam:Populus trichocarpa isolate Nisqually-1 chromosome 5, whole genome shotgun sequence.
UAAUCUAUCUAGGGUAAAUCUUCAUCUAGUUAUGACAAACUUACACCUAACUUCUCAGAAUCAUUUGUUGUCGCAAGCUCAACUAUAUUAGAUACGGUAAGGGUGAUGUUAUUCUUUCCUCAAUCAUAA